rnacentral:rRNA from 1 species
UACGUAGGGUGCGAGCGUUAAUCGGAAUUACUGGGCGUAAAGCGUGCGCAGGCGGUCUGCUAAGACCGAUGUGAAAUCCCCGGGCUUAACCUGGGAACUGCAUUGGUGACUGGCAGGCUUUGAGUGUGGCAGAGGGAGGUAGAAUUCCACGUGUAGCAGUGAAAUGCGCAGAGAUGUGGAGGAAUACCGAUGGCGAAGGCAGCCUCCUGGGCCAACACUGACGCUCAUGCACGAAAGCGUGGGGAGCAAACAGG